rnacentral:lncRNA from 1 species
CUCUGCAAGUUUAAAGAGUAGUAAGUUUUGAGUGACAAUCUUUGUUAUAGAACAAUAUAAAAACAACAAAGAUUUAACAGUUUAAAGAUAAUACAUAAACUACUAAUCUUGGCUUAAGAUAAACUAGGGUGAUUAACAUUUCAUAUAAGCUAAACUUGCGUAGUCAUGCAAUAGAUUCAUACCCUGUGUGUUUCCCACGUCGCCUUAUAACAUAGUAAAGAUUGGAGGAAGGAGGUUGAUGAAGAACAGGAAUGAACGCGACCGAGUCAAGCAGGACAAUCCUGUCAUCUCCUCCUAUGUUGAAACCAGAGCUCAGGUAACAAACAGACAAGAAACAGAACAGGGUUUAGGAAAUAAUAGAAAGGUUAACUAACUUCCUAUUUGGUACUUGACGGUGACCUUUGCGUUCUGAGGAAACGGCAAACCGUUGAGAUCACAGUCAAAACAUUUUCCGAAGCAACACUUGGGCUGAGACUCUUCGUCUUGGAUCACCAACACGCCUGAGUUUGGACCUUCUGCUUGCAACGUUAGCUCAGAUGGGUUUCUCUGGUAUUCAGUCAAACGCUUAGUAACAUACAUCUCUUCUUUUGAUUCUUUUGUUUCUCAUCAAGAUCUAUCUUGUCUCAUCGUUUAUAUAAACAAAUGAUCACAAGAACGUGCCAGGAAGUUUACUGAGAUAGUUGUUUAUAAGCUAAUCUUUGACCCAAUCUGAGGUUUGACUUGAACAUUUGUCAGAAUCUCAUGUGGAUGAUUUCUCUACGAAGACAUAAUAUUUGAUUAUUUAUUCACCUGAAGAGGUGAAGUGUAAGAACUAAUAACAAAUUUAACUGUAAACAAAUUACACUGACCUGUGGAAGCUCACAUCAUUGAGGCAUAGACAGCAUUUAUAAAUAAUUUUCAUUUUUUUUUUUGUCAAUAUGCAUAAACAAAAUACUGAUCUAAACCAUAUUGAUCAUUCGCCGUAUUGAUCCAACGGUCCACACAGAAAAAACAGCACCCUUGAGGUUUCUUCUUCAAGCUUCUUUACGCGUGAUCCUGUGGACAACAAGAAACAAAAACAUUAAUUUAUUAUGUUUUCAAAACGAGAAGCUUGCUCAUAGAUUUUGAUCAAAAACUUCACCUGAAACAGUAGAUUCCAAGAGCAGUAGUGAUCUCAUGGAUGACAGAUGUGGCGAAGUGCAAGUAUAAUGACACUGUUUUCAACCAAGACAACGUUAGUGAAGAGAAGAACAAAGAGCUAGAGCUAGGUAAGGUUUUAUUUGUUUUAGGAGCAAACCUGUGAAUAUACAGUAGCCAAGAAGAACCCAUAACUCAUCAACUAGAGGAACCCUGAAAGACACAAGUUUGCCAGUUUUAUAAAGACAAAAGAAACCGAUGGAUGUUUCUGCAGAAGAAUGUAAAGAUGAUAAAGAAACAUACCCAUCAUUCAAUCUUGCGGUUAAAGCGUUUGCAAGUGCAAAGGGAAGAUAGACUAGAGACUGCAUUUUUAGAUUUAAAAAAAAAACAUAACAUAAGGUUACAUUUUCCCUAACCAGUAAGGUUGGAGAAGGUGGCGAGAAAUAAGUUAUCAGAUUUACCAAGCACAUGUUUGUUUUCAGUCCUUUCGGCUCAUCACACAAGUGAGCAAGAAUCAUUCUUCCCUGAGAAAAAUAAAAAACAUAAAAACCUUUUGAGUUACAACUUUUUGGAAUGAUCAGUAACUAAGAGAUCAAGACAUACCACCAGAAAUCCAAAUGCAAGCCCAGUUCCAAGUACAACCAAGUGAGGGUAUGUUUCUAUGAGAUUUAUUGGAGACAAGUAGUCCCUGUAGAAAACAAAAUCCAAACAAUUUUCAACAACAAAGGAGAGAAAGAUCGCAAGUCCUUUUCAGAAGAGCAUAAAACAAGACUUGCCAUAUCAAAACACCUCCAAGAAGAACCACGAAAGGAUACAGCUGCAUCCGAGAAUCAAACAGAAACGUUAGCUCUCUACAGUUUUAAAAAGGUAUAUUACUAAAUCAACAGGUUAGGAGAUUACCAUAGCUAAUGCUAACAGCAUGCUCCCUUUUCUUAAUUGAACAACUUUGUAGACAUUUGACACACUGCAAAACGCAACCAGCAUAGAAAGUAGGAACUUAUCAGCUAAAGAGGACCUAAAUCUACCACUAACCAAUACUUUGGGAGACAAACACUGAAUCAUGAUACGAGAAAACUGUUAUUUCUUUAAAUCUUUAUCUAUUUCAUCACAACUGAGUAGUAAUGUCAUCUCACUUCCUGUUAACACAUACAAUGUGCAAGUUUGGAAGACUCACUUGAAUGCUACGGUUGGUAUAACGGCGAAAGCGAUCAUCAUGUAUAGGACUGCUCUGGAAGUUUUGAUCGCUACAACAGAGGACUCAAAGUUUAAUCAAGAAAGCAAAGGCAGUAACAGUACAAGAAAAAAUGGAGGAAAAACAAUAGAAAACUAUUUGUACCAUUAACAAAUGGCACCCAACUAAACAAUGGUAUGGACUGCCCCAAUUGCUGAGCCCACCAUUCAGCACCUUUACACAAUACAAAAAAAAAAAAAGGAGUGGAAGUCAAGACCAAGCCCAAUUAUAGAAAUAAAAUGCUUAAAGAUAGGCCAGACAUUAUCAACUACGGUGAAGUUUUCAAGGGUUGCAGACAAGAAAGAAGCAUACCGACAAUGGCAGUGAAGAAGUGGCUGACGAAUAUAAGUGCAAGACCCUCUGUUGGUCCAUUGAUGACCGGAAGAAUAAGUGUGUUGGUGAAAUAGCUAGAUACGUGUUGAGUAAAAAGUCUUAGAACGGAUCUUAACAAAAUAUUCUACAAGUAUUAAUGUGUUAUGAGACAUAAGCAGAGAGUUCGAAGUAGGACUUACUGCUCCCAUGUAGCUCCAUAGAAGGGAAUAGCUGAAAUAACCCAGAACCAGAAAGUGUCUCUUCCACACAUCGCAGUGCUUCCAAAUGCCAUGGCUUCAAACUGUUUUCAUUGUUAAAACUUUUAGCAUCAACUCCAGGACAAGUACGAAGUAGUAGAAGCAAAGAAGAUAAAUAGGAUAGUUAGGUACAUACCGCACAAGCAAGUGCAUCACAACCUGCCAAAUGGAACACAUGUCAGCAAAAUCUAGAAAACAGCUGAAAAAAAAAAAAAAAAAUCAAAGAAGAAACAUGGGGAAAACAAAUGACCAUGAUCGAAGAGCUCUCCUAAGGGGCUAGAGGAAUUUGUCCUUCUUGCUUGCUUCCCAUCAACCGCAUCAAAUGUCUAAUAAAAUCUCAAAAGGUGUCAAGAAAAAAAGACUAAAAAACAAAUUCACAGGCAGAUAGAAACGAAAGUUAGACUUUUGAAGAAAGGAGACCUGAUACAAGAAUAGAAGUAAACCGUGUGCGAAGUGAACCCAUCGUGGAGGAGGAGAAUCCAACUGUGGUGAAUAUAUCUGAGACAGGUAAAGAAAAAUGUCUUUAAAGUCUAAUCUAUAUGCUUAACGCCGACAUUUUCACCGACCAAAAAAAAGACCAAAUGCUUAACGAGGCUAAAGAACAAGACAUAAAAUCACUCACGUAGCCUAGCAGGGACUCAAACCUCUCUGAUCUCUUAACGUUAGACCUUAUCUUAGACCAGCCAAACCUCUCCUCUUCCCAUUUCAUCUGCUCCAAGACCACAGAGCCAAGACCUAUCUUCUCCUCGGUCCCUGAGACACUAAACCAGACAACUUUAUCUGAAUCCACACCUUUUGCCUCUCUUGCAAUCUCCCCUCCUCCAAGCUUAACCACUUCUGUUUCCACCUCCACGUCAACCACUGCCUCAAACUGCUUAUCCUCAACGUUCUCGCAGAAGAAAACCUCUUCAAAUCUUUGGUGAAGGGUCAUGCUGUAAUACAUGGAUCUCCUCAUCUGAUCCUUUGCAUCUCCUUCUUUUACAAACAAGAAGGGGACAUACCACUUCCCAACGACAACGCUCUUAUCAAAAUCAGGAAGCUCGUAACGAAGCUUUGCAUCUACUACGCCCUUUGCAUCAUCAACCAAACCAAAGUCUUCAGAAGACGAGAAAGGAACCGUCCAGCCUUUCCUCCUAAGGAACCGGGGUGGUAUUCCAUCCGAAGCAACGGAUGUGGCGAAGAACUUACGUGUUGAUGAGCCUCUUUGAUGGAUCUCAAACUGUUGGUAUGUGUCAUAAGGAUCUAGAGGCCUUGGAGUAGCGUUGGGGAUGUAAGAAAAGCAAAAGCAACAAGGUGCCCUGUCUCCUUCUUUUGCACUAACACAUCGAAACUGUUUCGAUCAUCGCUGAUUGGAGAAGAGGAUCGAAGAUUGAGCUGGGCUCAGUCGCUCUGAUACCAUAUUGAGAAACAGAAUGUAAUAUGAAAUAUCUUCAUUAAAAUUAAAAUGAGUACAAGGAGGAGUAUUUAUACUCAAAUACAUUAGACUGCUCUACACUAAUAUCUACUCUAUACAAGUAUGUGUAUGUGUACAAUAUACAGUAUGUAAUAGCUUCUCUGAUCACAUUUAAAAACAACAAAGGUUAACGGUUUUAAACUUGCAUAGUCAGGCAAUAGAUUCAUUACCCCGUGUGUUUCCCGCUUCGCCUUAUAACGUAGUAAAGAUUGGAGGAAGGAGGUUGAUGAAGAACAGG